UGGUGGGCGUGGCUGAAUUUAGUUGCGCAUGCUCAGUAGAUUUAUUAGCUGUGAAACCAUGUGCUGCUCCAAAAGACAAGAACAAAGACAAGAGACAAGACAGGAUUUGUUCACUGCAUUACAUGAAGUGGAUGAUGUUACAAUGUACUUCUAUGACAGUAAAUACUAACUGGCAAGUAUACAUGUCAAUGUGAGAAAGAAUAAAGCAAUCUGGCCGGAACCAGGCGACCCUACUACCUAUGAAGUGGUACAGUGACAAGGUGGGCGCUUCAUCGUCAAGAGUGAUCGGUCUUGCUAUACCUGAGUUGAUUGUUGUCGAAAAUGCUCAUUUAACUACAAGUUCCAUGGCAGUAUGUUACACCAAGAAGACCUGUUCCGUAAACAAUCAAUUUCCUUUGUAUUGUCACUGUACAAUAUUUUGUCUUUCCUUCUAACUGUUGUUUUGUUUAUAGUUGUUUUGUUUAUAGUAACUGUUGUCACUUUUCACUUAAAAUUAAUGUCACUGUUAACAUUUUUAA